rnacentral:rRNA from 1 species
AUGGCGACGGCUAUGAUGGCUGCAGCCACCACCUCCUGCUCCCCGCGCCGAGCGCUCCUCAAGCCCGCGGCCUCCUCCAGCUCCGCGCCGCCGCCCAGGCCGCAGCCUCGGUCCUUCCUCAAGCAGCUCCCGGGGCUCGCCGCGACGGCGGCUGCGGCGGCCGUCGCCUCCGUGCCUCUCCCGGCCCUGGCCGUGGAGAUGGAGAAGGCGGCGCUGUUCGACUUCAACCUGACGCUCCCGGCGAUCACGAUCGAGUUCCUGCUGCUGAUGGUGGCGCUGGACAAGCUCUACUUCUCGCCGCUGGGCAAGUUCAUGGACGAGCGGGACGCCAAGAUCCGCGCGGAGCUCGGCGGCGUCAAGGACGCCUCCGAGGAGGUGCGGCAGCUGGAGGAGCAGGCCCAGGCCAUUCUCAAGGCGGCGCGCGCGGAGAUCGCGGCGGCGCUCAACAAGAUGAAGAAGGAGACGACCACGGAGCUGGAAGCGAAGCUCGACGAGGGCCGCCGCCGCGUGGAGGCAGAGCUCGUGGAGGCGCUCGCGAGCCUCGAGGGGCAGAAGGAGGAGGCCAUCAAGGCGCUGGACGCGCAGAUCGUGUCGCUCAGCGACGAGAUCGUCAAGAAGGUGCUCCCAUCCGCGUGA